rnacentral:tRNA from 1 species
GCGGGUGUAGCUCAGCGGUAGAGCACCUCGUUGCCAACGAGGACGUCGAGGGUUCAAGUCCCUCCACCCGCUCCA